rnacentral:lncRNA from 1 species
AUUAAACUCUUUUGUUCUGAAGGCACAUAUGCCAGAAUAUGAUUUUACGGAUGUGUCCUGGAGGCUCCCAUGAGCUACAUGCCUAUAGCCCUUCAUUCUGGUUACCUACAUUUGAAUUGGUUAAAUCCUGGUUGGCAGAAUUUUAAGUUGUUCAUAAUUGGAAAAGGAGCUAAUGUAUUCACUUAAUAAAUGUUUGCUUCAUGAAUUCACACUGUCUCCAAAGAUCAGUUAGGGAAAAAUCCAACAUUUCAAUUACUUUGGGUUAUUUUUCAUAUUAAGAGCUAACUAUGUGCACAGCCAUGUGUAAAUAUAUUAUAGUCAUGGUCCCUCCUGGAAACUACUCAAAUGUGAGACUAAUUGUGGAAGGAAACUUUGGAGAUAAAUGAACAAAGUUUAGAAUUGGAAGGUAAUUUAGUCCAAAUUGUUCAUUCAUUCAUUAAUUCAACAAAUGUUGAUUGAAUAGCUGGGCACCAAACUCUGUACUGUGGAGAUGAAAGAUAUAGCCACUCACAGUCUAGAGAAGGACAAAUAGUUAUCCUGAGGAUGAGAUGAGGGUAUUAUCAGAGAAGACUUCUUUGAAGAGUCUGCACAUGAGCUAGGUAUUAGAGGAUAAAUUUAGGACAGUCAGGAAGAGAAGUGGAAAAGCACAGUACAAGCAAAGUGAACAGCAUAUGCAAAUACUUUGAGUGAGAGGAAACUGGGCAAUAGCUGCAGAUGAGGAUGGAGGUGAGGAUAUGACGGGUUGUGAAAGGAAUUGUAUACACACUGUCUUUGAAUUUGAUUGAAAAGUGGUGGAUAAAAUAGAAGAAUUCUAAGUAAGAAGGUGACAUGAACAGAUUUUCCUAUUAGUAAUAUUAUUUCAGCAGUGAUAUGGAGAAUAUUUUGCAGUGUGGACAAGAAGGAAAGCAGGAAAAAUAGUUAGAUAGCCACUGUAGUAAUCAAUGCAAGAGUGAGGAAGGGAUACUUUUGCAAGAUAAU